AUUGAACACUGGCGGCAGGCUUAACACAUGCAAGUCGAGCGGAGAUGAGGUGCUUGCACUUUAUCUUAGCGGCGGACGGGUGAGUAAUGCUUAGGAAUCUGCCUAUUAGUGGGGGACAACAUUCCGAAAGGAAUGCUAAUACCGCAUACGUCCUACGGGAGAAAGCAGGGGAUCUUCGGACCUUGCGCUAAUAGAUGAGCCUAAGUCGGAUUAGCUAGUUGGUGGGGUAAAGGCCUACCAAGGCGACGAUCUGUAGCGGGUCUGAGAGGAUGAUCCGCCACACUGGGACUGAGACACGGCCCAGACUCCUACGGGAGGCAGCAGUGGGGAAUAUUGGACAAUGGGGGGAACCCUGAUCCAGCCAUGCCGCGUGUGUGAAGAAGGCCUUAUGGUUGUAAAGCACUUUAAGCGAGGAGGAGGCUACUGAGACUAAUACUCUUGGAUAGUGGACGUUACUCGCAGAAUAAGCACCGGCUAACUCCGUGCCAGCAGCCGCCGUAAGAC
rnacentral:rRNA from 1 species